rnacentral:lncRNA from 1 species
UCAAAAAAUACGAUAGAAUUUUGUGACUAGCAAUUUGACCUCUGUUGGAACCUUCCCAGCUUUAGUGUCGGCUCUUAACUAACAAACAGUAAUUAGGGGAAAAGCAACUAAAAAUACUUCUCCUUGACAACAACAAAAAUAUAGUAUAUUUUCAUAAACGGUAUCUGGGGAGGAUAGUGUGUAUACAGACCUUCACAAUCACUAUUAUAUCAACAAAGCAUAUUGAAUUAAGCUUAAAAAACUCUUUUAAAAAAAUUGAGUAAUGCAGGUGUUUUUCACACUUCGCCUUCAGCAUUUAAAGAAUUGUAUGACCUCCGAACAUCUCCCCCCUACCCCCCUACCCCCCUCCCCACCAAAACCCCCAAAUUACAGAUUACAUUUUACUCAUGAGGUAUCCUCUGGUACUAUACAUGGUAACAAAAAAACCAAGCAUUUUGUCAAAUCUCCAGUAACAAAGGGGUUGACUGCUAAGUCACUCGAAUAAGUAAUACAACCAUGACAAAAACUAAUGUCAUGACAAAGAUCAAGAGCCAUUGGAAGCAUGUAGUCUUGAAACUCCGGGAAUACACAUCCAUAGCCCUGGAAGUUGCAUGCCCUGUACUUGCUAGGCUAUGCUCAACUGCUUUCUCAGUUGAAUCAAGUAUCUGCAUCCACAUUAUAUGUGACAAUUA